GUUCCUGUGUCUCGGUGUUCCUCGGUGUUCCUGUGUUCCUGUUUCCUCUCUGUUCCCGUGUCUCGGCGCAGGGAUGGUCAUUGUUAAACUUUGGCAGGCGCCGCGGCCAGUUUUAACUUUCUCACAAGGAAAUUGAUCUGGUCUACCACAAGCCGUUUGGCAAGCUCGUUUACAGCUGUGUAUCUCAGAACUUUCCGGAUCAUGUGGGGAGACGAGUUGGACUGAGAUCUGCGUCGUCUCCGCCAAAAAAAAAGGCCAGACUCUCACCAGGCAACCCGGAGAACCACUGGAGAACAGAAAAGAACAUUGACUUGAUUUGCAUAUAUUUCAGUAUAACAUGGUUUAGUAUGAGCAGGUUUCAGUAUAACCUGGUUUAGUAUGGGCAGGUUUCAGUGUAACCUGGUUUAGUAUGAGCAGGUUUCAGUAUAACCUGGUUUAGUAUGAGCAGGUUUCAGUAUAACCAGGUUUAGUAUGAGCAGGUUUCAGUAUAACCUGGUUUAGUAUGAGCAGGUUUCAGUAUAACAUGGUUUAGUAUGAGCAGGUUUAGUAUGAGCAGGUUUAGUAUGAGCAGGCUGUGGCAUGAGCAGACAUCUAUGUACUCUACUCUGGAAGCAGUAUCGUGCCCCUGGGGAUGCAGCAGGCUCACAAUGCUGCGUUUACGAAAUGGAGUCUAGAUCACCUUUCCUCCUCUGUCUAUGUGUGCUGGUCCAAGAGUCUCAGUAGCACAGGUGAGUUGGCCUGUCUGUGAGUCCAGGUGUGUUUGAAGUGAAGUAAGCACGGCUGCCUCAGCUUUGAAGUGUCCGUGGCGCCGUCCCGUCCGAGUG
ensembl:lncRNA